UACGGAGGGUGCAAGCGUUAUCCGGAUUUACUGGGUUUAAAGGGUGCGCAGGCGGAUAUGUAAGUCAGUGGUGAAAUCUCUAGGCUUUAACCUGGAAAUUGCCGUUGAUACUAUAUAUCUUGAAUGUUGUGGAGGUAAGCAGAAUAUGUCAUGUAGCGGUGAAAUGCUUAGAUAUGACAUAGAAUACCUAUUGCGAAGGCAGCUUACUACGCAGAUAUUGACGCUCAUGCACGAAAGCGUGGGGAUCAAACAGG
rnacentral:rRNA from 1 species